CAGCCGCCGCGGUAAUACGUAGGUGGCAAGCGUUGUCCGGAAUUAUUGGGCGUAAAGGGCUCGCAGACGGUUUCUUAAGUCUGAUGUGAAAGCCCCCGGCUCAACCGGGGAGGGUCAUUGGAAACUGGGAAACUUGAGUGCAGAAGAGGAGAGUGGAAUUCCACGUGUAGCGGUGAAAUGCGUAGAGAUGUGGAGGAACACCAGUGGCGAAGGCGACUCUCUGGUCUGUAACUGACGCUGAGGAGCGAAAGCGUGGGGAGCGAACAGGAUUAGAUACCCGAGUAGUCCCUGUCUCUUAUAC
rnacentral:rRNA from 1 species